GUCCGGGUCACCAUCGCCUCCUCUACCGAGAUGCCCUCUAGCCGCAUGGACCCCAUGGGCGCGCUGAGGAGGGGAGCCUGAGCCGGAGCUGUCCCCGCUGGCCCUCGCUGGCCCUCUGACCCUUCUUCGCCCCGCCAGGAAUUACCACUCCGUGCCAGAAUCUAGUCAGCACCUCAAAAGACACCCUCCCAAUCAGAAUUCUGCUGAGGCAGGAUGAUUGGACUUCCUUCCCACUGAAGGUUCCAUUGCAAAUUCAACCAACAUUGGAUCAAAAAUGUUCAGGAAAAAAAGAAAUUCAAGUACUUCCCUGGUGGUCCAGUGGCUAAGAAUCCACCUUGCAAUGCACAGGACACUGGUUCAAUCCCUGGUCCAGGAAGAUUCCACAGCAACUAAGCCUGCACGCCGCAACUACUGGGCCCAUACUCUACAGCCUGUGAGGCAACUACCACUGAGCCCUCGAGCAGCAGUUACUGAGGCCUGCGCGACUAGAGCCUGUGCACUGCAACCAAAGAAGCCACCACAAUGAGAAGCCCCUACUCCCACAACUAGAGACAACCCAAGUGCACCAUCAAAGACCAAGUACAGCCCAAAAUAAAUUUUUUGGUUUUUUUAAAAAUUCAAGA